UGUGUGAGUAGGUGUGUAUUAGAGUAGGUGUGUGUGAGUAGGUGUGUAUUAGAGUAGGUGUGUGUGAGUAGGUGUGUAUUAGAGUAGGUGUGUGUGUGUGAGUAGGUGUGUAUUAGAGUAGGUGUGUGUGUGUGAGUAGGUGUGUAUUAGAGUAGGUGUGUGUGUGUGAGUAGGUGUGUAUUAGAGUAGGUGUGUGUGUGUGAGUAGGUGUGUAUUAGAGUAGGUGUGUGUGUGUGAGUAGGUGUGUAUUAGAGUAGGUGUGUGUGUGUGAGUAGGUGUGUAUUAGAGUAGGUGUGUGUGUGUGAGUAGGUGUGUAUUAGAGUAGGUGUGUGUGUGUGAGUAGGUGUGUAUUAGAGUAGGUGUGUGUGUGUGAGUAGGUGUGUAUUAGAGUAGGUGUGUGUGUGUGAGUAGGUGUGUAUUAGAGUAGGUGUGUGUGAGUAGGUGUGUAUUAGAGUAGGUGUGUGUGAGUAGGUGUGUAUUAGAGUAGGUGUGUGUGAGUAGGUGUGUAUUAGAGUAGGUGUGUGUGAGUAGGUGUGUAUUAGAGUAGGUGUGUGUGAGUAGGUGUGUAUUAGAGUAGGUGUGUGUGAGUAGGUGUGUAUUAGAGUAGGUGUGUGUGAGUAGGUGUGUAUUAGAGUAGGUGUGUGUGAGUAGGUGUGUAUUAGAGUAGGUGUGUGUGAGUAGGUGUGUAUUAGAGUAGGUGUGUGUGUGUGAGUAGGUGUGUAUUAGAGUAGGUGUGUGUGUGUGAGUAGGUGUGUAUUAGAGUAGGUGUGUGUGAGUAGGUGUGUAUUAGAGUAGGUGUGUGUGAGUAGGUGUGUAUUAGAGUAGGU